rnacentral:lncRNA from 1 species
CCGAAAAAGUCCGAAGAGCACGUCUUUUGUCUUUAAAGGUAUUUCUGACCAAGUUUUCCAUGGAGCAGUAUAGCGCAUCUUAAUGUCAUUAGUGAUUGAUCUAGUAACUGUGGAAUCUAAAAAACUGCAAUAUUUUUAUAUAUAAUGAGUAGUUGUAAGUAAUAAUACAUAUUAAAUCAAUAGCAAAAAGUUGUAUAUGACUUACACAGUUCCUUUCAAUCUAAUCAAUUGUCGAUCAAACGGGUUUGAUGGGAUAGGAUGUCCCAAAUUCGGACCUCUAGUUCUAACUGAUGAUGAUGAGGAUGCGUUUAAACUGCAAUAUUUUUAUAUAUAAUGAGUAGUUGUAAGUAAUAAUACAUAUUAAAUCAAUAGCAAAAAGUUGUAUAUGACUUACACAGUUCCUUUCAAUCUAAUCAAUUGUCGAUCAGACGGGUUUGAUGGGAUAGGAUGUCCCAAAUUCGGACCUCUAGUUCUAACUGAUGAUGAUGAGGAUGCGUUUGC